rnacentral:rRNA from 1 species
GACGAACGCUGGCGGCGUGCUUAACACAUGCAAGUCGAACGGAGUGGCGAACGGGUGAGUAACACGUGGGUGAUCUGCCUUGCACUCUGGGAUAAGCGUGGGAAACUGGGUCUAAAACCGGAUAGUGCAAGGUGAGCUCGCGGCCUAUCAGCUCGUUGUGGUGGUAAUGGCCUACCAAGGCGUCGACGGGUAGCCGGCCUGAGAGGGUGUACGGCCAAAGUAGUACUUAGAUACGGCCCAGACUCCUACGAGAGGCAGCAGUGGGGAAUAGUGCACGAUCGGCGGAAGCCUGAUGCUGCGACGCCGCGUGGGGGAUGACGGCCUUCGGGUUGUAAUCUCCUUUCGACAGGGACGCGGUACCUGUAUAAGAAGCACCGGCUAACUACGUGCCAGCAGCCGCGGUAAUAC